rnacentral:rRNA from 1 species
AUUGAACGCUGGCGGCAGGCCUAACACAUGCAAGUCGAGCGGUAGAGAGGUGCUUGCAUCUCUUGAGAGCGGCGGACGGGUGAGUAAUGCCUAGGAAUCUGCCUGGUGGUGGGGGAUAACGUUCGGAAACGGACGCUAAUACCGCAUACGACCUACGGGUGAAAGCGGGGGAUCGCAAGACCUCGCGCUAUUGGAGCGGCCGAUGUCAGAUUAGCUAGUUGGUGGGGUAAAAGCCUACCAAGGCGACGAUCUGUAGCUGGUCUGAGAGGACGACCAGCCACACUGGGGACUGAGACACGGCCCAGACUCCUACGGGAGGCAGCAGUGGGGAAUUUUGGACAAUGGGGGGCAACCCUGAUCCAGCCAUGCCGCGUGCGGGAAGAAGGCCUCGGUGUAAGACUCUUUGUUCUAGGGAAGAAACGGUA